GAAACAUGAAAAAAGAGGGGAAAAAACAGAAUAUUUUCAAAGAAUGUAUAAAGUACUCUUUUCGUGGCCUAAAUUGAAGACAAUUAUGAUAGUUAGAACUCCAUCCAAAAGUGAUUCAGAAAGUUUGGUUUCUACAAAAUGCUACCGUAAUAAGUACGCUUGAAGCGUCUGACACACAUCUUACGUCAUCGAAAGUAACAAAACAGAUUUCGUCAACUAAGUAUGUCAUAUACAUUAAAUUUAUCUCGGGGUCUGAUUUACGACGCACGAUCUUUUAUCUUUUAUAAGAUGUCAGUAUGAUAAAUUAACCAACCACUGGGAUACCAAAUUUAUCAUUGUUAAUAAUUGAUAUAUUUUUAUAGCUCGUUAAAUGGCAAUCAUAACGACGUCAGCGGGUCGAUUUCUUAUUAAAUGCCAUUGAUAGGAACAACUACGUCUUUUGGUUGGAGGCAAUGUCUGCGUUAGGCCGGUUGUUUGGGGUUUACCGACUAGCGACAAGCAGCCAUGUUGGAGGUGUGAUACAAAAGAAUGUUUUAUCGAUGCUGUUGUCGACUCCAGCAGGCGUGGGCGAAUAUUAUUAUUUGGUUAAUCCCAAAGAAUUGGUUGAAAAUCAAGAAUUGAUGUUUGCGAUGGCUUGAGAAGCUAGCAUCGUUAUUGUAUCUUCAGCUAUUUAGCUUCAACAGUUUUCAGAAGAGGGUCAAGAUUAUGUGCACAAACGAAACGAAUUUUUAUUUAUCGAAAAUUACAUUUCUUGAGCUUCACCAGUCCAGAUUUCAAUGAUAUGAAGAGAUAUAAAGUAUAUAACAUAGUGGUAGCAGCAAUUUCGUCGUUUUUAUUCCUUCAAAAAGAUUCAGUAGACGGGCAUACGCCAAAGCGUACCUAUGUCUCAAACUUAGUCAACGGUGACGCACUAAGUAGCGAUUUAUGGUGUAUGUCGUCAAGAUGUUGCCCAAAAAAUAGUUUAAAUGAGGUGAUAAUUAUUUUAAUUAAUUAUAAUUCAGCAUAUAAAUUCAGCAUAUAAA